UUAACGGCCGCGGUAUUUUGACCGUGCGAAGGUAGCGCAAUCACUUGUCUUUUAAAUGAGGACCCGUAUGAAUGGCAAAACGAGGGCUUAGCUGUCUCCUUUUUCAAGUCAAUGAACUUGAUCUCCCCGUGCAGAAGCGGGGCUUGAACCAUAAGACGAGAAGACCCUGUGGAGCUUUAGACACUAAGAUAGACCAUGUCACAAACCCCUAAAUUAAAGGACUGAACUGUAUGGACCCUGUCCUAAUGUCUUUGGUUGGGGCGACCACGGGGAAACACAAAACCCCCGAGUGGAAUGGGAGCACCCUCCUACAACUGAGAGCUUCCGCUCUAGUAAACAAAAUUUUUGACCAACAAGAUCCGGCAACGCCGAUUGACGAACCAAGUUACCCCAGGGAUAACAGCGCAAUCCUCUUUUAGAGUCCAUAUCGACAAGAGGGUUUACGACCUCGAUGUUGGAUCAGGACAUCCUAAU
rnacentral:rRNA from 1 species